rnacentral:rRNA from 1 species
AACAGGAUUAGAUACCCUGGUAGUCCGCACCGUAAACGAUGGAUACUAGGCGUUCGGAGAGUUAACCCUCUGAGUGCCAAAGUUCACACAUUAAGUAUCCCGCCUGGGAAGUACGGUCGCAAGACUAAAACUCAAAGGAAUUGACGGGGGCCCGCACAAGCGGUGGAGUAUGUGGUUUAAUUCGAAGCAACGCGCAGAACCUUACCUGGCCUUGACAUCGCGAGACCGGUGCAGAGAUGUACCUUUCCCUUCGGGGACUCGUAGACAGGUGCUGCAUGGCUGUCGUCAGCUCGUGUUGUGAAAUGUUCGGUUAAGUCCGGCAACGAGCGCAACCCCUGUCCUUAGUUACCAGCAUUAAGUUGGGGACUCUAGGGAGACCGCCGGUGUUAAACCGGAGGAAGGCGGGGAUGACGUCAAGUCCUCAUGGCCCUUACGGCCAGGGCUACACACGUACUACAAUGGUAGAAACAGACGGCUGCAAGACCGCAAGGUGGAGCUAAUCCGUAAAACACUAUCUCAGUCCGGAUUGAAGUCUGCAACUCGACUUCAUGAAGUUGGAAUCGCUAGUAAUCGCAGAUCAGCACGCUGCGGUGAAUACGUUCCCGGGCCUUGUACACACCGCCCGUCACACCACGAAAGUGGUCUUAACCAGAAGUCAGUGAGCCAACCGCAAGGAAGCAGCUGACCAAGGUUGAGGCCGUGAUUGGGGUGAAGUCGUAACAAGGUAACC